rnacentral:rRNA from 1 species
GAUGAACGCUGGCGGCGUGCUUAACACAUGCAAGUCGAACGAUGAAGCCUAGUUCGCUGGGCGGAUUAGUGGCGAACGGGUGAGUAACUCGUGAGUAACCUGCCCUUCACUCUGGGGUAAGCCUGGGAAACUGGCUCUAAUACCGGAUAGGUGAGCCUACUGAACGGAGGGUGUUGGAUAGAUAUAUCGGAUUUGGAUGGACGCGCGGCCUAUCAGCUUGUUGGGGAGGUAAUGGCACAUAAAGGCGACGACGGGCAGCCGGCCUGGGCGGGUGACCGGCCACACUGGGACUGAGACACGGCCCAGACGCCUUCGGGAGGCAUCAGUGGGGGAUAUUGCACGAUAGGCCAAAGGCUGAAGCAACGACGCCGCGUGAUGGAUGACUGCCGGCAGAGUAGAAACCUCUUGCAGUAGGGAAGAAGCGAAAGUGACGGUACCUACAGAGGAAGCACCGGCUAACUACGUG